rnacentral:rRNA from 1 species
UACGUAGGGGGCAAGCGUUGUCCGGAUUUAUUGGGCGUAAAGAGCGUGUAGGCGGCUUUACAGGUCCGUUGUGAAAACUCGAGGCUCAACCUCGAGACGCCGGUGGAAACCGUAAAGCUAGAGUCCGGAAGAGGAGAGUGGAAUUCCUGGCGUAGCGGUGAAAUGCGCAGAUAUCAGGAGGAACACCCGUGGCGAAAGCGGCUCUCUGGGACGGUACUGACGCUGAGACGCGAAAGCGUGGGGAGCAAACAGG